GUACUUACCUGGCAGGGGAGAUACCAUGAUCACGAAGGUGGUUUUCCGAGGGCGAGGCUUAUCCAUUGCACUCCGGAUAUGCUGACCCCUGCGAUUUCCCCAAAAAAGAAAAGAAAAGAAAAGAAAAGA
ensembl:snRNA U1 U1 spliceosomal RNA